ACUUUCAUAGUUUAAAAAAAACAUUUCAUUUUCAAUGAAAAAACAAGAGAAGUCUUUGUAAGUA
rnacentral:tRNA from 1 species